rnacentral:rRNA from 1 species
GACGAACGCUGGCGGCGUGCUUAACACAUGCAAGUCGAACGGAAAGGCCCUGCUUUUGUGGGGUGCUCGAGUGGCGAACGGGUGAGUAACACGUGAGUAACCUGCCCUUGACUUUGGGAUAACUUCAGGAAACUGGGGCUAAUACCGGAUAGGAGCUCCUGCUGCAUGGUGGGGGUUGGAAAGUUUCGGCGGUUGGGGAUGGACUCGCGGCUUAUCAGCUUGUUGGUGGGGUAGUGGCUUACCAAGGCUUUGACGGGUAGCCGGCCUGAGAGGGUGACCGGCCACAUGGGGAAUGGGAUACGGCCCAGACCCCUACGGGGGGGAGGAGGGGGGAAAAUUGCAAAAGGGGGGGAAGCCGGAUGCAGCAACCCCGCGGGGGGGAAGGCGGCCUUCGGGUGGUAACCCGCUUUCCCCUGGGAAGAAGGGGGGGUGACGGUAAUGGGUAAAGAAGCACCGGCUAACUACGU